rnacentral:misc_RNA from 1 species
UGUUGAUCUACACGGACGAACGGGCCCGGGAGCAGGCCCAAUCCGAAACGGUCCAGCAGAUGUACGAGGCGUACGCCCGAUUCGGUCAGGAGCACGGCUCCAAGAUCCGGGCCGGGGAGGAGCUCGAGCCCACGGCCACCGCCACGACCGUGAGGGUCGACGGCGGUCCGGGGGGCGACGUGGUGACCACCGAUGGGCCCUUCGCGGAGACGAAGGAGCAGCUCGGAGGGUUUUACAUCAUCGAGGCGGACGACCUGGACGAGGCCAUCCAGGUCGCGGCCGGGAUCCCGUCGGCUGCGUUCUUCAUCGAUGC